rnacentral:rRNA from 1 species
GGUAUUUUGACCGUGCAAAGGUAGCGCAAUCACUUGUCUUUUAAAUGAAGACCUGUAUGAAUGGCACAACGAGGGCUUAACUGUCUCCUUUCUCAGGUCAAUGAAAUUGAUCUCUCCGUGCAGAAGCGGGGAUAUACCCAUAAGACGAGAAGACCCUAUGGAGCUUCAGACACCAAAGAAGACCCUGUUAAUCCUCCCGCAAAUCACGGAAUAAACAAAUGGGUGCCUUCCCUAAUGUCUUUGGUUGGGGCGACCGCGGGGAAACAAAAAACCCCCACGUGGAAAGGGAACACCCCCUCCUACAGCCCAGAGCCACAGCUCAAAUCAACAGAAUUUCUGACCAACAGAUCCGGCAAAGCCGAUCAACGGACCGAGUUACCCUAGGGAUAACAGCGCAAUCCCCUUUUAGAGCCCACAUCGACAAGGGGGUUUACGACCUCGAUGUUGGAUCAGGACAUCCUAAUGGUGCAGCCGCUAUUAAGGGUCCGUUUGUU